rnacentral:rRNA from 1 species
AUUGAACGCUGGCGGCAGGCCUAACACAUGCAAGUCGAACGAGUGGCGGACGGGUGAGUAAUGUCUGUGAAACUUCCUGAUGGAUGGGGAUCGCUACUGGAAACGGUAGCUAAUACCGCAUACCAUCAGAUGUGCCCAGGUGGGUAUAGCUAGUUGUUGGGGCAACGGCUCACCAAGGCCCCGAUCCCUAGCUGGUCUGAGAGGAGGACCAGCAACACUGGAACUGAGACACGGUCCAGACUCCUACGGGAGGCAGCAGUGGGGAAUAUUGCACAAUGGGCGAAAGCCUGAUGCAGCCAUGCCGCGUGUAUGAAGAAGGCCUUCGGGUUGUAAAGUACUUUCAGCGGGGAGGCGUUACCCGCAGAAGAAGCACCGGCUAACUCCGUGCCAGCAGCCGCGGUAAUUC